UAAUGUGAGUCAAGCUACUAAGGGCACAUGGGGGAUGCCUUGGCGCCAGAAGCCGAAGAAGGACGUAGCAAGACUGCGAUAAGCCCCGAUUAGCUGCCUAGCGAGCUUACUCGGGGAUUUCCGAAUGAGGGAACUCAUCUACUUCGGUAGUUGCCCUAGUCGUGAGACUUGGGCGGUAAGCAGGGGAACUGAAACAUCUAAGUACCCUGAGGAAAGUAAAUCAACCGAGACUCCCCUAGUAGCGGCGAGCGAACGGGGAUCAGCCCAAACCACAUGAGCCUAACGGACUGGAGUCCUAUGCCUUUGUGGUGUUGUAGGGCCAGAUAUGAGACCUCUCCAGAGGUCCCGAAGAGUUACAAAAUAUACAUCUAAUCGAACAGUCCUGGAACGGCUGGCCGUAGCGGGUGAAAGCCCCUUAGAUGAAAGGUGUGUAUCUCUUAGUCUGGUUCCUGAGUACGACGGGACACGUGAAAUCUUGUCGGAAUCUGGGGGGACCACCCUCCAAGGCUAAGUACUUUUGGCGACCGAUAG
rnacentral:rRNA from 1 species